rnacentral:tRNA from 1 species
GGAUUGUGGCUCAGUGGUAGAGCGCUCGCCUAGCAUGUGUGGGGCCCUGGGUUCAAUUCUCAGCACCA